rnacentral:rRNA from 1 species
GAUGAACGCUAGCGGCAGGCCUAAUACAUGCAAGUCGAACGGGAUGCAGAUCAUAGCUUGCGUUGGUCGGGUGAGAGUGGCGCACGGGUCCGGAAAGCGUGAGCAACCUACCCUUGUCAGGGGUAUAGGCCGGCGAAACUAGGACUAAUACCGCAUGACAGCAUUGAGAGGCGGCUUGCGAUGAUCAAAGAUUUAUCGGACAAGGAGGGGCUCGCGUGACAUUAGCUCGUUGGUAAGGUAACGGCUGACCUAGGCGGUGAUGUCUAGGGGCUCUGAGAGGAGCAUCCCCCACACGGGUACUGAGCCACGGACCAGACUCCUACGGGCGGCAGCCGUACGGGAUAUUGGUCAAUGGACGGUAGUCUGAUCCAGCCAUGCCGCGUGCAGGAGGACGGCCUUCUGGGUUGUAACCUGCUUUUAUACGGGAACAAUCGUCUGUACGUGUACCGGUCUGAGUGUACCGUAAGAAUAAGGACCGGCUAACUCCGUG